GUGAAUCAUCGAAUUUUUGAACGCAAAUUGCACUCUCUGGUAUUCCGGAGAGUAUGCCUGUUUGAGGAUCAGUUUAAAUAAAAAUCUGUGUAGUUGCUGCCUUUCGUGGUGACGCAUGGGAUUUGGGUCGUUUGUCCUUCGGUGUAGAUCUCUAAAAUUUAGCAAAAAUUUUUUCGAAGGGAUUUAAAUGU
rnacentral:misc_RNA from 1 species